CUUUAACACAAUUUUGCUAAAAUGACAUUCAUUCCUGAAAAUAAAUGAGAUGAACUUUGUGGCCUUCGUUGCCCAUCAUGGUGUUUUGUUCAUGUUAAAUCUGUUUUUUUUUGUUAAGUCCUCUGAAGAUGUUAUUUUCUCUCCACCAUUUGCUUGUUAAUUUCUUUCUCUGAAUAUCCACUGCACAUAUAUUCAUGAAACCUGGAUGAAGCGUAGGGCUUCAGCCAUGGAUUAACCCAGUAGUUUAUGGAACAGACAUGUACAAUUUGGAUACUUUUUUUUUUUUUUUUCUCUCUCUUUGCAAGAUUUUGACUGAAUUAAAUGACUUUCUGCAGAGGUA